UGGGGAAUAUUGGACAAUGGGGGCAACCCUGAUCCAGCGAUGCCGCGUGUGCGAAGAAGGCCUGCGGGUUGUAAAGCACUUUAGUUGGGAGGAAAGGUAUGUACUGCAUAAGUGCAUGCUGUGACGUUACCCAAAGAAUAAGCACCGGCAAACUCUGUGCCAGCAGCCGCGGUAAUACGUAGGGACCAAGCGUUGUUCGGAUUUACUGGGCGUAAAGGGCGCGUAGGCGGCAAUUCAAGUCAUCUGUGAAAUCUCCGGGCUUAACUCGGAACGGUCAGAUGAUACUGCUUUGCUAGAGUGCAGAAGGGGCAAUCGGAAUUCUUGGUGUAGCGGUGAAAUGCGUAGAUAUCAAGAGGAACACCUGAGGUGAAGACGGGUUGCUGGGCUGACACUGACGCUGAGGCGCGAAAGCCAGGGGAGCAAACGGGAUUAGAUACCCCUGUAGUCCCUGAGCGGGCUGGCAAGGCGCAU
rnacentral:rRNA from 1 species